rnacentral:rRNA from 2 species
UGCAGUCGAGCGGACAGAAGGGAGCUUGCUCCCGGAUGUUAGCGGCGGACGGGUGAGUAACACGUGGGUAACCUGCCUGUAAGACUGGGAUAACUCCGGGAAACCGGAGCUAAUACCGGAUAGUUCCUUGAACCGCAUGGUUCAAGGAUGAAAGACGGUUUCGGCUGUCACUUACAGAUGGACCCGCGGCGCAUUAGCUAGUUGGUGAGGUAACGGCUCACCAAGGCGACGAUGCGUAGCCGACCUGAGAGGGUGAUCGGCCACACUGGGACUGAGACACGGCCCAGACUCCUACGGGAGGCAGCAGUAGGGAAUCUUCCGCAAUGGACGAAAGUCUGACGGAGCAACGCCGCGUGAGUGAUGAAGGUUUUCGGAUCGUAAAGCUCUGUUGUUAGGGAAGAACAAGUGCAAGAGUAACUGCUUGCACCUUGACGGUACCUAACCAGAAAGCCACGGCUAACUACGUGCCAGCAGCCGCGGUAAUACGUAGGUGGCAAGCGUUGUCCGGAAUUAUUGGGCGUAAAGGGCUCGCAGGCGGUUUCUUAAGUCUGAUGUGAAAGCCCCCGGCUCAACCGGGGAGGGUCAUUGGAAACUGGGAAACUUGAGUGCAGAAGAGGAGAGUGGAAUUCCACGUGUAGCGGUGAAAUGCGUAGAGAUGUGGAGGAACACCAGUGGCGAAGGCGACUCUCUGGUCUGUAACUGACGCUGAGGAGCGAAAGCGUGGGGAGCGAACAGGAUUAGAUACCCUGGUAGUCCACGCCGUAAACGAUGAGUGCUAAGUGUUAGGGGGUUUCCGCCCCUUAGUGCUGCAGCUAACGCAUUAAGCACUCCGCCUGGGGAGUACGGUCGCAAGACUGAAACUCAAAGGAAUUGACGGGGGCCCGCACAAGCGGUGGAGCAUGUGGUUUAAUUCGAAGCAACGCGAAGAACCUUACCAGGUCUUGACAUCCUCUGACAACCCUAGAGAUAGGGCUUUCCCUUCGGGGACAGAGUGACAGGUGGUGCAUGGUUGUCGUCAGCUCGUGUCGUGAGAUGUUGGGUUAAGUCCCGCAACGAGCGCAACCCUUGAUCUUAGUUGCCAGCAUUCAGUUGGGCACUCUAAGGUGACUGCCGGUGACAAACCGGAGGAAGGUGGGGAUGACGUCAAAUCAUCAUGCCCCUUAUGACCUGGGCUACACACGUGCUACAAUGGACAGAACAAAGGGCUGCGAGACCGCAAGGUUUAGCCAAUCCCACAAAUCUGUUCUCAGUUCGGAUCGCAGUCUGCAACUCGACUGCGUGAAGCUGGAAUCGCUAGUAAUCGCGGAUCAGCAUGCGGCGGUGAAUACGUUCCCGGGCCUUGUACACACCGCCCGUCACACCACGAGAGUUUGCAACACCCGAAGUCGGUGAGGUAACCUU